UACGUAGGGUGCAAGCGUUACUCGGAAUUACUGGGCGUAAAGCGUGCGCAGGCGGUUGUGCAAGACAGAUGUGAAAUCCCCGGGCUCAACCUGGGAAUUGCAAUGGAAACUGGCGGGCUUGAGUGUGGCAGAGGGGGGUGGAAUUCCGCGUGUAGCAGUGAAAUGCGUAGAGAUGCGGAGGAACACCGAUGGCGAAGGCAGCCCCCUGGGCCAACACUGACGCUCAGGCACGAAAGCGUGGGGAGCAAACAGG
rnacentral:rRNA from 1 species